rnacentral:rRNA from 1 species
UUUGGUUAAGUUAGAAAGGGCGCACGGUGGAUGCCUUGACACUAGGAGUCGAUGAAGGACGGGACUAACGCCGAUAUGCUUCGGGGAGCUGUAAGUAAGCUUUGAUCCGAAGAUUUCCGAAUGGGGAAACCCACCAUACGUAAUGGUAUGGUAUCCUUACCUGAAUACAUAGGGUAAGGAAGACAGACCCAGGGAACUGAAACAUCUAAGUACCUGGAGGAAGAGAAAGCAAAUGCGAUUUCCUGAGUAGCGGCGAGCGAAACGGAACAUAGCCCAAACCAAGAGGCUUGCCUCUUGGGGUUGUAGGACAUUCUAUACGGAGUUACAAAGGAACGAGGUAGACGAAGCGACCUGGAAAGGUCCGUCGUAGAGGGUAACAACCCCGUAGUCGAAACUUCGUUCUCUCUUGAAUGUAUCCUGAGUACGGCGGAACACGUGAAAUUCCGUCGGAAUCUGGGAGGACCAUCUCCCAAGGCUAAAUACUCCCUAGUGAUCGAUAGUGAACCAGUACCGUGAGGGAAAGGUGAAAAGCACCCCGGAAGGGGAGUGAAAGAGAUCCUGAAACCGUGUGCCUACAAAUAGUCAGAGCCCGUUAACGGGUGAUGGCGUGCCUUUUGUAGAAUGAACCGGCGAGUUACGAUCCCGUGCGAGGUUAAGCUGAAGAGGCGGAGCCGCAGCGAAAGCGAGUCUGAAUAGGGCGUUUAGUACGUGGUCGUAGACCCGAAACCAGGUGAUCUACCCAUGUCCAGGGUGAAGUUCAGGUAACACUGAAUGGAGGCCCGAACCCACGCACGUUGAAAAGUGCGGGGAUGAGGUGUGGGUAGCGGAGAAAUUCCAAUCGAACCUGGAGAUAGCUGGUUCUCCCCGAAAUAGCUUUAGGGCUAGCCUUAAGUGUAAGAGUCUUGGAGGUAGAGCACUGAUUGGACUAGGGGUCCUCAUCGGAUUACCGAAUUCAGUCAAACUCCGAAUGCCAAUGACUUAUCCUUAGGAGUCAGACUGCGAGUGAUAAGAUCCGUAGUCAAAAGGGAAACAGCCCAGACCGCCAGCUAAGGUCCCAAAGUGUGUAUUAAGUGGAAAAGGAUGUGGAGUUGCUUAGACAACUAGGAUGUUGGCUUAGAAGCAGCCACCAUUUAAAGAGUGCGUAAUAGCUCACUAGUCGAGUGACUCUGCGCCGAAAAUGUACCGGGGCUAAAUACACCACCGAAGCUGCGGAUUGAUACCGAAUGGUAUCAGUGGUAGGGGAGCGUUCUAAGGACAGUGAAGUCAGACCGUAAGGACUGGUGGAGUGCUUAGAAGUGAGAAUGCCGGUAUGAGUAGCGAAAGACGGGUGAGAAUCCCGUCCACCGAAUGCCUAAGGUUUCCUGAGGAAGGCUCGUCCGCUCAGGGUUAGUCAGGACCUAAGCCGAGGCCGACAGGCGUAGGCGAUGGACAACAGGUUGAUAUUCCUGUACCACCUCUUUAUCGUUUGAGCAAUGGAGGGACGCAGAAGGAUAGAAGAAGCGUGCGAUUGGUUGUGCACGUCCAAGCAGUUAGGCUGAUAAGUAGGCAAAUCCGCUUAUCGUAAAGGCUGAGCUGUGAUGGGGAAGCUCCUUAUGGAGCGAAGUCUUUGAUUCCCCGCUGCCAAGAAAAGCUUCUAGCGAGAUAAAAGGUGCCUGUACCGCAAACCGACACAGGUAGGCGAGGAGAGAAUCCUAAGGUGUGCGAGAGAACUCUGGUUAAGGAACUCGGCAAAAUGACCCCGUAACUUCGGGAGAAGGGGUGCUUUCUUAACGGAAAGCCGCAGUGAAUAGGCCCAAGCGACUGUUUAGCAAAAACACAGCUCUCUGCGAAGCCGUAAGGCGAAGUAUAGGGGGUGACACCUGCCCGGUGCUGGAAGGUUAAGGAGAGGGGUUAGCGUAAGCGAAGCUCUGAACUGAAGCCCCAGUAAACGGCGGCCGUAACUAUAACGGUCCUAAGGUAGCGAAAUUCCUUGUCGGGUAAGUUCCGACCCGCACGAAAGGUGUAACGAUUUGGGCACUGUCUCAACCAGAGACUCGGUGAAAUUAUAGUACCUGUGAAGAUGCAGGUUACCCGCGACAGGACGGAAAGACCCCGUGGAGCUUUACUGUAGCCUGAUAUUGAAUUUUGGUACAGUUUGUACAGGAUAGGCGGGAGCCUUUGAAACCGGAGCGCUAGCUUCGGUGGAGGCGCUGGUGGGAUACCGCCCUGACUGUAUUGAAAUUCUAACCUACGGGUCUUAUCGACCCGGGAGACAGUGUCAGGUGGGCAGUUUGACUGGGGCGGUCGCCUCCUAAAGUGUAACGGAGGCGCCCAAAGGUUCCCUCAGAAUGGUUGGAAAUCAUUCGUAGAGUGCAAAGGCAUAAGGGAGCUUGACUGCGAGACCUACAAGUCGAGCAGGGACGAAAGUCGGGCUUAGUGAUCCGGUGGUUCCGCAUGGAAGGGCCAUCGCUCAACGGAUAAAAGCUACCCCGGGGAUAACAGGCUUAUCUCCCCCAAGAGUCCACAUCGACGGGGAGGUUUGGCACCUCGAUGUCGGCUCAUCGCAUCCUGGGGCUGUAGUCGGUCCCAAGGGUUGGGCUGUUCGCCCAUUAAAGCGGUACGCGAGCUGGGUUCAGAACGUCGUGAGACAGUUCGGUCCCUAUCCGUCGUGGGCGUAGGAAAUUUGAGAGGAGCUGUCCUUAGUACGAGAGGACCGGGAUGGACGCACCGCUGGUGUACCAGUUGUUCUGCCAAGGGCAUAGCUGGGUAGCUAUGUGCGGAAGGGAUAAGUGCUGAAAGCAUCUAAGCAUGAAGCCCCCCUCAAGAUGAGAUUUCCCAUAGCGUAAGCUAGUAAGAUCCCUGAAAGAUGAUCAGGUUGAUAGGUUCGAGGUGGAAGCAUGGUGACAUGUGGAGCUGACGAAUACUAAUAGAUCGAGGACUUAACCAUAUAA